rnacentral:rRNA from 1 species
UACAGAGACCUCAAGCGUUAUCCGGAAUCAUUGGGCGUAAAGCGUACCGAUAGGUGGUUUAGAAAGUCAUAUGUGAAAUUCCAAGGCUCAACCUUGGGACUGUCAUUUGAAACUUCUAAACUAGAGGGGCAAAGAGGAAGCUGGAACGAACGGUGUAGUAGUGAAAUGCGUUGAUAUCGUUCGGAACACCAAUAGCGAAGGCAGGCUUCUGGGUGCCACCUGACACUGCUAGGACGAAAGCGUGGGGAGCGAAUGGG